GCCAGGAGUAAAAAUAUAGAGAGAAGUGAAGACUGGAAAACUGGAGAACAUCUUUAUCUUAUUUGAAGUGGCCCAUAACCCUUCAGCUCUACUUCAUGGCAGGGACAUUUUAUUUUCUUCCAUAUAGACCUAAUAUUUUGCAAAUAAUUGCCUGCCAAUGGUUCUUCAAGUGUGAGACCAUCAGCAUCACCUUGCAAUGUGUUUGAAGUGCAAGUUCUUGGGCCCUACACCAGAACAACUGAUUCGGAAACACAGAAAUUCACCAAGCUGUGUUUU
rnacentral:lncRNA from 10 species